CUUUCUGCUCAUCUGUGUUCGUAUUUAGUGAUGGUUUUUCCUGGUACUCUUCGUUCUGGUUGAGGCCGCCGGGGUCGCCCGCCACGGCGGGGUCGUGUGCAACGGCGGGGGUCGUGUUUCUGCUGCAGAUCGAGGACAAUUCUUUGCUGUUCGCGGGGCGGUCGGCCGCGACGAUGCUCAACUUCAUGGAGUCGACGUCCGGCGUCCGCGAUCGGGCUCUACGCCGGCGGACAAGGAAUACGACUCAUGCACGCACCGCCGUCCGCUCGAUCCCAUCCAUGGCCCAGGCAAGGUCAUUCUCCCAUAUGUCCGGUGUCCCUCUUCCCCUUGUUUAGUUUUCUUUUGCUGCACUUUUACUCUUUUUUUGGUAGCAAGGGAUUGGCGGCCGCGGCCGAGCGGAUCGACCACUCCGUUUGCAACGCCGGCGCUUUCUUUCCUGGCCUCAGCUUUACCACAACCCAACUUUUGGAAUCACUCCGAUGGCGAGUAUGCAGAGGCUAUGAACCAGAAGAGGCGACGGCGGAACGCAGGCAGCGGUGAUGACACGUCGCCUUCUUCACUGUCAUUGACGGCGUGUCGGCGUCGCAGGUGCAUAUGUGGUGGUGAUGUUUCUGACCUUGAGCUCGCCUAGCUUGCCGACGGCUCGAGCUCACGCCUGCCCAGAGCACCAACACCCCUCCGUCCUAUGUCGCCAAGGUGUACCUCGUGCUUGGCAUGCGAGUUUCCCACGUCACUGGCACCUCGACCCCACGCCCGCCCAGACCGUGAGUGCCCCGCCGCCCACUACUACCGGAGCCGUCCGCCCCUUGUCGUCGUCAUCAAGAGAUGCGGCCUAAGCUAGGCUACCGCCAAAGCAGAUGCGAGAAGGUGCCCCCAGCUCCAUAUGUCUUUCCGCCUCCGUGUCAGCUGCAGGAAGGUGAGCACGCGACGAGUGCCUCCAGCUCGCUCUUGGCCAUGCACCCUGACGCGGUGACGCCCCUUGCGCUGCCUCUCGCGCGGCUUGCAUUCUUCGGCUGCGCCGUGUGUGGUGCGUGGGUUGCUGUCAUGGUGCCAUGGCCCCUGCGCUCGGACGAAUUGAACUCACAUGCAUAUGGUCGUGAGUCGUGACCCAGAGCUGGCAUGGCGCCACCCCUCCCCAGGGAUACAGUAUUCUUCUCUGAGAAUUUCGUGAGCAAGCUACGGUCUUCAUUAGCAGUACUGGCCUUCUUCUUCUUUUUUCGAUUUUUCAGGGCUCAUGCCAUGUGUUUACUAUACUGAAAUGUUGAAGAUGGUACUAUAAUUUGGAUUAAUUUUAUAAGA